GCACCCGCGGUAAUUCCAGCUCCAAUAGCGUAUAUUAAAGUUGUUGCAGUUAAAAAGCUCGUAGUCGAAUGAAGGUUUCUUGUAUAGCGCGGACGUCUAGGUGUAACUUAGAUUAGUUUGCGCACAAGAACCUCCCUUGUGUGUCUCAGAGGAGCAAAUAUUUAUUUAUUUUGAUCCAUUUGCGACACACACAUUACUGUGAACAAAAUAGAGUGUUCAUGGCAGGUCAAUUUAGGCUUGAAUACCUCAGCAUGGAAUAAUAGAAUAGGACUUCCGGUUCUAUUUUGUUGGUUUUUGGAGCCGAAGUAAUGAUUAAUAGGGAUAGUUGGGGGCACUCGUACUCCGUUGUCAGGGGUGAAAUUCUAGGAUUGACGGAAGACGAACAACUGCGAAAGCAUCUGCCAAGGAUGUUUUCAUCGAUCAAGAACGAAAGU
rnacentral:rRNA from 1 species